rnacentral:rRNA from 1 species
UGGGGAAUAUUGCACAAUGGGCGGAAGCCUGAUGCAGCGACGCCGCGUGGGGGAUGAGGGCCUUCGGGUUGUAAACUCCUUUCGACAGGGACGAAGCUUUUGUGACGGUACCUGUAUAAGAAGCACCGGCUAACUACGUGCCAGCAGCCGCGGUAAUACGUAGGGUGCGAGCGAUGUCCGGAAUUACUGGGCGUAAAGAGCUCGUAGGUGGUUUGUCGCGUCGUCUGUGAAAUUCCGGGGCUUAACUCCGGGCGUGCAGGCGAUACGGGCUGACUUGAGUGCUGUAGGGGAGACUGGAAUUCCUGGUGUAGCGGUGAAAUGCGCAGAUAUCAGGAGGAACACCGAUGGCGAAGGCAGGUCUCUGGGCAGUAACUGACGCUGAGGAGCGAAAGCAUGGGUAGCGAACAGG